rnacentral:rRNA from 1 species
GAUGAACGCUGGCGGCGUGCCUAAUACAUGCAAGUCGAGCGAACGGACGAGAAGCUUGCUUUUCUGAUGUUAGCGGCGGACGGGUGAGUAACACGUGGAUAACCUACCUAUAAGACUGGGAUAACUUCGGGAAACCGGAGCUAAUACCGGAUAAUAUUUUGAACCGCAUGGUUCAAAAGUGAAAGACGGUCUUGCUGUCACUUAUAGAUGGAUCCGCGCUGCAUUAGCUAGUUGGUAAGGUAACGGCUUACCAAGGCAACGAUGCAUAGCCGACUUGAGAGGGUGAUCGGCCACACUGGAACUGAGACACGGUCCAGACUCCUACGGGAGGCAGCAGUAGGGAAUCUUCCGCAAUGGGCGAAAGCCUGACGGAGCAACGCCGCGUGAGUGAUGAAGGUCUUCGGAUCGUAAAACUCUGUUAUUAGGGAAGAACAUAUGUGUAAGUAACUGUGCACAUCUUGACGGUACCUAAUCAGAAAGCCACGGCUAACUACGUG